CAAAAUAAGGACCAAUUAAAAGAAAAAGAAAAUGAAUGUAAUAAAGAAGUGAAAAAGAAACUUGAAAUAUCUGCUACAAAAUCUGAUGCAGAAUUAAGUACAAGAAAUAAGUUUAAUCAGUUUUCUACUAGUGAUAUGACAGAGAACAAGCUAUGGCAUGAAUAUAAUGGGAUGAAGAAUAGCUCCAUGAUGAGACUGGAAAGAGAAAUAAAUAUUAAAAUAAAAUAUCAGAACCAGAAAAAGAAAUACCUUGAUACUACUGGAACUUUAAGAGAAAAGAGCAAUGACCCUCAAAGGAUACACAGACUGAAUGAGGAAACACUUACAAAAACAACAUUCCAGCAUAAUGAACAGUUUGAUAUUCCAAAAGUGGAAAAUCCAAUGCAAAAUUUUAUACUGGAGAGUGAGAAAAAAAUGCAGAAAAAGUGGAAACAGAAGUCAAAUCAAACCCUGCGACACUGGCUGCUGCCCCAUAUCAUUGUGUUGAAAGUCAAACACCAAAAAGACAUCUAGAACUUGCUUUCCAAGAGCAAGAAAUAAGGGCUUUACUUCACAGGAAAAGAAGAAUUUUGAGGUAUAUAACUUAAAAGAUAGUAGUGAUAUUCCUUCCCAACAAGAUUUGAAGUCUGAAAUAAGAAACAGUGACCUCGAAAAUGAGAUUGAUCAGAAAAGAGAUACCCUCAGAGUAAGGACUUUGAUUUCAGAACAAGAAAAAAGACUCCUAAAACAGAGUGCCAAAUGAAGGGGAUGGAACACAAGUGUCAAAAUGAACAAAGGAAAAUGAGUGAAUACAUCAGAGAGCAGAAAUCUUAUAGAAAGGAGAGAUUAUCUAAAAUCCAAAGUAAAAUUACACUGCUUCAGCAGCAAUUGCAUGACCUUCACAACAGAGAUGAAAAUCAAAACAAUGCAGUGAUUAAUUUCCAAAAUGAAUUUCAUGAUAUUAUAAAAUUUCAAGCUCAGAUUGAAA